rnacentral:rRNA from 1 species
ACUUGCUAUCAGAGUGGGACUAAGCCAUGCGAGUCAACGCCGAAAGGCGUGGCAUACGGCUCAGUAACACGUAGUCAACAUGCCCAAAGGACGUGGAUAACCUCGGGAAACUGAGGAUAAACCGCGAUAGGCCAAGGUUUCUGGAAUGAGCCAUGGCCGAAAUCUACAUGGCCUUUGGAUUGGACUGCGGCCGAUCAGGCUGUUGGUGAGGUAAUGGCCCACCAAACCUGUAACCGGUACAGGCUUUGAGAGAAGGAGCCCGGAGAUGGGCACUGAGACAAGGGCCCAGGCCCUAUGGGGCGCAGCAGGCGCGAAACCUCUGCAAUAGGCGAAAGCCUGACAGGGUUAUCUGGAGUGAUGCCCGCUAAAGGGUUCUUUUGGCACCUCUAAAA